rnacentral:rRNA from 1 species
UAAUACCGCAUAACGAUGGAUGACACAUGUCAUUUAUUUGAAAGGGGCAAUUGCUCCACUACAAGAUGGACCUGCGUUGUAUUAGCUAGUAGGUGAGGUAACGGCUCACCUAGGCGACGAUACAUAGCCGACCUGAGAGGGUGAUCGGCCACACUGGGACUGAGACACGGCCCAGACUCCUACGGGAGGCAGCAGUAGGGAAUCUUCGGCAAUGGGGGCAACCCUGACCGAGCAACGCCGCGUGAGUGAAGAAGGUUUUCGGAUCGUAAAGCUCUGUUGUAAGUCAAGAACGAGUGUGAGAGUGGAAAGUUCACACUGUGACGGUAGCUUACCAGAAAGGGACGGCUAACUACGUGCCAGCAGCCGCGGUAAUACGUAGGUCCCGAGCGUUGUCCGGAUUUAUUGGGCGUAAAGCGAGCGCAGGCGGUUUGAUAAGUCUGAAGUUAAAGGCUGUGGCUCAACCAUAGUUCGCUUUGGAAACUGUCAAACUUGAGUGCAGAAGGGGAGAGUGGAAUUCCAUGUGUAGCGGUGAAAUGCGUAGAUAUAUGGAGGAAC